AGGAUUCUCCUUUAUAACGGCGAGUGAACAGGGGAAGAGCCCAGUACCGAAGCCUAUUCGCGCUUGUGAACAAGGCCAUGUGGUAUUAAGAUGUUUGCCUGGGGCUGUUCGUCUAUUCCAAGUCCAGCAUAGGUUAUGGCUCUGGAUGUGGUCCAUAGCGGGUGAAAGACCCGUGGGAAUAGAUUGUCAGGCAUGUUGACAGCCCUCAGAUGCAUUCAUCGUGGAGUCGGAUAGCUUGAGAAUGCUGUCCAAAGUGGGUGGUAAACUCCAUCCAAGGCUAAAUAUUUGCACGAAACCGAUAGCUAACAAGUACCGUGAGGGAAAGUUGAAAAGUACUCUGAAGAGAGAGUAAAUAGUACGUGAAGCCGCAUCAAUGGAAGCUGGUGGAGUCAAGCUGCAUGUCUCUAGAAUGGAGUUAGUGACCAUUGUGUUAUGGUUGAGGUGGUCGGUCGAUGGCCUUGCAAAGAGGCUGACGGAUUCGUCUGUCUCCGGUGGGCAUUGGUUAGUGCCCUCGGGUUCGGUUGGCUUGUUCCUCUGUGUCACUAGCGCACUUUCUUUAUGACAGACAUCACGGUCGGCAAUGUUGUUGGCGUUUAGUAGUCAAACCAUUAGGUACUGGGUUUCUAAUCCAUGCCUGGUGGGACGGCAGGUAGCUUGUCAGUUGGCCUUGUGUCAGUUGGUGAGCUUUUUGUGGUUGUGACCGGCCGACUACUUUGUUAAGCAUAUAGCCAUGCAAUUUGCCGUUGCUCAAAGAGGCCAUGCGCUUUUGUCCUUUGUCUUGCAGGCUGCGCUUGUGUGUCUCC
rnacentral:rRNA from 2 species